rnacentral:rRNA from 1 species
AUUGAACGCUGGCGGCAGGCCUAACACAUGCAAGUCGAGCGAGUGGCGGACGGGUGAGUAAUGUAUGGGGAUCUGCCUGAUCGAGGGGGAUAACUACUGGACACGGUAGCUAAUACCGCAUACUAUCGGAUGUACCCAGAUGGGAUUAGCUUGUAGGUGGGGUAAAGGCUCACCUAGGCGACGAUCCCUAGCUGGUCUGAGAGGAUGAACAGCCAAACUGGGACUGAGACACGGCCCAGACUCCUACGGGAGGCAGCAGUGGGGAAUAUUGCACAAUGGGCGCAAGCCUGAUGCAGCCAUGCCGCGUGUAUGAAGAAGGCCUUAGGGUUGUAAAGUACUUUCAGCGGGGAGGCGUUACCCGCAGAAGAAGCACCGGCUAACUCCGUGCCAGCAGCCGCGGUAAUUC